rnacentral:rRNA from 1 species
AGCGAACGUUUGCGGCGGGCUUAACACAUGCAAGUCGAACGGGCUGUUCCUUCGGGGGCAGUCAGUGGCGCACGGGUGCGUAACACGUAGGUAAUCAACCCUCUGGUUGGGGAUAACACUUCGAAAGGAGUGCUAAUACCCGGUAUGGCGCAGCGGUCUUCGGAUCGCGGCGAGAAAGACCCGCAAGGGUUGCCAGAGGACGAGCCUGCGGCCCAUCAGCUAGUUGGCGAGGUAACGGCUCACCAAGGCGAAGACGGGUAGCUGGUCUGAGAGGAUGAUCAGCCACACUGGAACUGAGACACGGUUCAGACUCCUACGGGAGGCAGCAGUGGGGAAUAUUGCGCAAUGGGCGAAAGCCUGACGCAGCCACGCCGCGUGAGCGAUGAAGGCC